rnacentral:rRNA from 1 species
UAAUAAAAUUAAACUAAGUUUCAAUAUAAUAAUAAUUUUUACAAAUCAAAACAUUUUUAGGUUUAGUAAAGGUGAUUAAAAUUUAAUACUUUGUUUUAAGAAAAGUACUGAGAAGGAAUGCAAAUUAAUUAUCCGAUAGAAAAAGUUAAUAUUUGUACCUUUUGUAUCAUGGUUUAGCUAGAUUUAAAUUUUAAUUAUAAUUUCUCGAAAUCUAAUGGGCUAUUUUUAACUUUUAUUUUAGUAAAUAAGUAUCUAAGGGUAGUUGUGGCAAAAACUUCCAAAUAGUUAAGAAUAGAAAUGAAAUUUUAUCCGAAUUAGAUGAUAGCUAGUUCUUCUAAAAAAGCAUUUAAGUGCUGUUAAUUGGGUUUUACAGAAAAGUAAUUUUAAAUAAAUCCCAAUUAGAUUAGAUUAUUGAGGAUAAGCUCAAUAAUUAAAAAAUAAUUGCAUCCAAUUCUCUAUUAAAUUUAAGCUUGAAAAUAGCUAUAAUUAUAUGAUUUUGUUAUAAUUUUAUACAACUUUUAGGAAUAUAAUUGAUCUGCUUAUAUUAAAUAGAAGAGAACUUAUAAACUCACGUUAUAAGAUACAUUAAUGCUAAAAUGAGUAUUAAGUAGAAUAUAUAAUCUAACAUUAUUUACUAUAAAUAAUAAAUAAAUAUGAAAUAUUAGAAUUAAAUUAUAUAAAGGAACUCGGCAAAUCUAAUAUUCUGCCUGUUUAUCAAAAACAUGGCUCCUUGAAAAUGAUAUAUAGGGAGUCGGACCUGCCCAGUGAAAUAUAUUAAACGGCCGCGGUACUCUGACCGUGCAAAGGUAGCAUAAUCAUUUGCCCUAUAAUUGAGGGCUAGUAUGAAUGGUUUGACAUGAAUAAAGCUGUCUCUAUAUAAUUAUCUAGAAUUUUAUUUUUAGGUGAAGAAGCCUAAAUUAAAUUAAAAGACAAGAAGACCCUAUCGAGCUUUAAAAAAACUAGUAAGACUACAACAAAUAUUCAUUAAAAUGAAUUUUUACUAGAAAUUUUGGUUGGGGCGACAAAGGAACAAUUAAAGCUUCUUUUAAAAUAACAGAACUUACAGGUAUUGAUCCAAGAAAUCUUGAUUAAAGAAAUUAGUUACCGUAGGGAUAACAGCAUUAUCUUUUUUGAGAGCUCAUAUCGAAAAAAAGGUUUGUGACCUCGAUGUUGGACCAGAAUAUCCGAAAGAUGCAGAAGUCUUUAAAGGUUGGUCUGUUCGACCAUUAAARUYCUACGUGAUCUGAGUUCAGACCGGCGUGAGCCAGGUCAGUUUCUAUCUUUUAUUGAAGAAAUAAGUUUAGUACGAAAGGACCAACUUAUGAUAUUGUUAUAAUAUUAAUUCAUAGAUUGAGUAUAAUAUAAGAAUAAAUUAGACAAAUUUACAUUGACUGUCA